rnacentral:tRNA from 1 species
GCGCUAGUAGUGUAGUGGUAACAUACAAGAUUCCCAUUCUUGUGCCCCGGGUUCGAUUCCCGGCUGGCGCA